AGCAUCCCUGGCUGAGGCGGAGCCGCUCCCGCUGCCCAUCCCGGCGCUCCCGAGGAUAUUCCCGCUGGGAGCGGGGCGAUACCCGCACCCCCGGAGCGGGCAGAGGCUCUGCGGAAGGAGGAUGCGGAGGAUGCCGCUCCGCGCACCGAGGGAGCCGCAGCCCCGGGAGGCUUCGGGCGCUGCCGGCGGAGGUGGAGGUUUUGGCAUUCCUGCUGGGACAGCUCCCAUCGGCCCCAGGAGCCGCUGGAACCUCCUUGUGCCCGCGGUGAGGACGCCAGGGCAUGAGUGGCACUUGUCCCCUCCCGAGGCAGGAUUUAUCCCUGGAUGGUUCCUCGGAGCUUUGCCUGGGCUUUGGAUGCUCCCUUCUGUCGGCAGCUGGAAUGGCAGGGUCAUUCCUCCUGCUCCUCCCAAAUCCUGUGGAUUUACUGCUUUUGGCAUCUCCUGCUGGGACUGGCUCUGGCACAGGGAAUCUCCGAGGGACAGAUGGGGAAAAGCAGCACCAGCAGCCUGAGGCUACAAUUCUCCUUUUUUCUGGGCUACUCGGAGCAUCCUGGCUCUGCAGGAGGAAGGAUUCCAUGCACUGCUGGAGGACAAGUCCUGCUGCUCUGAUGGUCCCUGCUGGAGGCUCGGGGUGAGGGACACAGGGACAGCCAGGAACAGCUCCCGAGGACAGGACAGACUGCAGCUGGGACAGAGGGACAGAAGGACAGCCAGGAACAUCUCCUGAGGACAGGAUGGACACUGUAGCUGGGACAGAGGGACAGAAGGACAGCCAGGAACAUCUCCUGAGGACAGGAUGGACACUGCAGCUGGAGCAGAGGGACAGAAGGACAGCCAGGAACAGCUCCUGAGGACAGGAUGGACACCUGCAGCCGGAGCAGAGGGACAGAAGGACAGCCUGAGGCCAGGACAGACUGCAGCUGGAGCUGAGGAGCAGCAGCCCCCUGGGCAGCCAUGGACCAUCAGGGCUGGGAGAGGCUCUUCCCUGAGCCCCAUUCCCCUCCUGCCCAGCCUGCCUGGGCUGCACAUCCCUCCCGGAGCUGGGCUCCUCCACGUGGAGCUGGCAGCGCUCAGGAGGGAUUUCUGCUGGGCUCUGGGAAUUAUCCUCGUGGAUCCUGGCCAUGGAUGGAUGGAUGGAUGGAUGGUGAAAGCUCCAGGAGCUCAGUGCUUUUCUCUGGCCAGCACCAAGCACUUGCCUGGUUUGCAGUGGAUUUUUUUGCUCUUUAUUUUUGCUGCUUUUUGGGGGUUUGGGUGUUUCCCGAGGAUGCUGGAGCUGCAGUGGAUCCCGUGGUGGGGACUGGAGCCUUUGGAAGAGCAGGAGCUGAGCUGCUGCUGGGGUUCCAGACUGGCAGGGGCUCACCCUGUGCUGGGUGGCCUCAGGAGGGUCCUUGUGCCAUCCCAGUGGAUCCCACGCAGGUGGGAAUGUGGAGCAGGAAUGGGGGGCCACACCCCAGCCAGGGGAAUGUCACAGUGAGGGGAGUGUCACCCUCAGGGACAAUUAAACUGCCUUUAAUAAACCCCAUUGGCUCUGUG